rnacentral:rRNA from 1 species
GCGAGUCUUUGUAGUAAUACAAGGCAUACGGCUCAGUAACGCGUAGUCAACCUACCCUAUGGACAAGAAUAAUCUCGGGAAACUGAGCAUAAUUCUUGAUAGAUCAUAAUGCCUGGAAUGGUUUAUGGUUAAAAUGAUUCGUCGCCAUAGGAUGGGACUGCGGCCUAUCAGCUUGUUGGUGAGGUAAUGGCCCACCAAGGCGAUAACAAGUACGGGCUCUGAGAGGAGAAGCCCGGAGAUGGGUACUGAGACAAGGACCCAGGCCCUAUGGGGCGCAGCAGGCGAGAAAACUUUGCAAUGUGCGAAAGCACGACAAGGUUAGUCCGAGUGAUUUCUGCUAAAGAGAUCUUUUGCUAGUUAUAAAACCACUAGUGAAUAAGGGGUGGGCAAGUUCUGGUGUCAGCCGCCGCGGUAAAACCAGCACCUCAAGUGGUCAGGAUGAUUAUUGGGCCUAAAGCAUCCGUAGCCGGCUCUGUAAGUUUUCGGUUAAAUCUAUGCGCUCAACGUAUGGGCUGCCGAAAAUACUGCAGAGAUAGGGAGUGGGAGAGGUAGACGGUACUCGGUAGGAAGGGGUAAAAUCCUUUGACCUAUCGAUGACCACCUGUGGCGAAGGCGGUCUACCAGAACACGUUCGACGGUGAGGGAUGAAAGCUGGGGGAGCAAACCGGAUUAGAUACCCGGGUAGUCCCAGCUGUAAACGAUGCAGACUCGAUGAUGCAUUGGCAUAUAGCCAGUGCAGUGUCGCAGGGAAGCCGUUAAGUCUGCCGCCUGGGAAGUACGUACGCAAGUAUGAAACUUAAAGGAAUUGGCGGGGGA